rnacentral:ncRNA from 1 species
CCUAACGCGAAGACGGAGAGAAGUAGGGAAGGCCCAGAGGCGCACAGAGAGCGGGCCCACAUCGCUGAGAGGCCGCCGCACUCGUUCCUGAAGUUCGCUCCCGAGCCGCCCCGGCGAAUGAAGUAGCCGGGACCGGGUCCUCCCGAUACAGAGGGAAAUGAGAGCCGCGGACAGGUGUCCGCGGAAAUGCGGGUGGUACCGCGGAGGCCCUCCUCCGUCCCAGAU